GAGUUUGAUCUUGGCUCAGAACGAACGCUGGCGGCAGGCUUAACACAUGCAAGUCGAACGGGCGUAGCAAUACGUCAGUGGCGCACGGGUGAGUAACACGUGGAUAUCUGCCUUUUGGUUCGGGAUAACCCUGGGAAACUAGGGCUAAUACCGAAUGGUUCCUACGGGAUAAAGAUUUAUCGCCAAAAGAUGAGUCCGCGUCCGAUUAGCUAGUUGGCGGGGUAAUGGCCCACCAAGGCGACGAUCGGUAGCUGGUCUGAGAGGACGAUCAGCCACACUGGGACUGAGACACGGCCCAGACUCCUACGGGAGGCAGCAGUGGGGAAUAUUGGACAAUGGGGGCAACCCUGAUCCAGCCAUGCCGCGUGAGUGAUGAAGGCCUUC
rnacentral:rRNA from 1 species